rnacentral:rRNA from 1 species
UACGUAGGGUGCGAGCGUUAAUCGGAAUUACUGGGCGUAAAGCGUGCGCAGGCGGUUAUGCAAGACAGAUGUGAAAUCCCCGGGCUCAACCUGGGAAUGGCAUUUGUGACUGCAUAGCUAGAGUGUGUCAGAGGGGGGUAGAAUUCCACGUGUAGCAGUGAAAUGCGUAGAUAUGUGGAGGAAUACCGAUGGCGAAGGCAGCCCCCUGGGAUAACACUGACGCUCAUGCACGAAAGCGUGGGGAGCAAACAGG